rnacentral:rRNA from 1 species
ACGAACGCUGGCGGCGUGCUUAACUCAUGCAAGUCGAACGGAAAGGCCCUGCUUUUGUGGGGUGCUCGAGUGGCGAACGGGGGAGUAACACGUGAGUAACCUGCCCUUGACUUUGGGAUAACUUCAGGAAACUGGGGCUAAUACCGGAUAGGAGCUCCUGCUGCAUGGUGGGGGUUGGAAAGUUUCGGCGGUUGGGGAUGGACUCGCGGCUUAUCAGCUUGUUGGUGGGGUAGUGGCUUACCAAGGCUUUGACGGGUAGCCGGCCUGAGAGGGUGACCGGCCUCAUUGGGCCUGGGAUACGGCCCAGACUCCUACGGGAGGCAGCAGUGGGGAAUAUUGCACAAUGGGCGGAAGCCUGAUGCAGCAGCGCCGCGUGCGGGAUGACGGCCUUCGGGUUGUAAACCGCUUUCGCCUGUGACGAAGCGUGAGAGACGGUAAUGGGUAAAGAAGCACCGGCUAACUACGUG